UCUUUCUUUGCUGGCGACCGGCGCACGGGUGAGUAACACGUAUCCAACCUGCCCUUUACUCGGGGAUAGCCUUUCGAAAGAAGGAUUAAUACCCGAUAGCAUAAUGAUUCCGCAUGGUUUCAUUAUUAAAGGAUUCCGGUAAAGGAUGGGGAUGCGUUCCAUUAGGUUGUUGGUGAGGUAACGGCCCACCAAGCCUUCGAUGGAUAGGGGUUCUGAGAGGAAGGUCCCCCACAUUGGAACUGAGACACGGUCCAA
rnacentral:rRNA from 1 species